AAACAUGAGCUUCUCGGAUAUUAAGCCCUGACUAAGAAGCUUGGGUUUGUCAAUGGUGGAAAAGAUAACUUCAUGGACUAGAAUACAUGAAACUUCAUGCCUUCGGCUAGAAUCUUCUGCUAGAAUUUCUUCUUUGUCAUUAAAAUUCUUUCUAACAUCCAAAUUUAGGUCCUCAAGCUUAGAGAAAGUUUCAAAGUCAUUCAUACCCUUCCUUAUCCCUUUAUCAUUUAAGCUUCCACCUGCCUUUGAAGUCAUAAAAUCAUUGAAGUCAUCCUGACCCUUUGCAUCAUCAAAUCUAGUCCAAUAAUUCUCUAAAAAUCGGACAUGAUAA
rnacentral:misc_RNA from 1 species